rnacentral:rRNA from 1 species
AAAGUGAAUAGUGAAAUCUGGGGGCUCAACCUCACAGGCUAUUAUUCAAACUCACAAGCUCGAGAGCAGCAGAGGUAACUGGAAUUUCUUGUGUAGGAGUGAAAUCCGUAGAUAUAAGAAGGAACACCAAUGGCGUAGGCAGGUUACUGGACCAUUUCUGACACUGAGGCACGAAAGCGUGGGAGCGAACCGGAUUAGAUACCCGGGUAGUCCACGCCGUAAACUAUGGAUACUA